rnacentral:rRNA from 1 species
GCUUAAUGACGUACUGGGAAACUGGUAUUUCUUCGGACAUUUGUCAAGGUGCUGCAUGGUUGUCGUCAGCUCGUGCCGUGAGGUGUCGGGUUAAGUCCCAUAACGAGCGCAACCCCUAUUGUAGUUGCCAUCAGGUCAUGCUGGGGACUCUAACAAAACUGCCCGCGUAAGCGUGGAGGAAGGUGGGGAUGACGUCAAAUCAGCACGGCCCUUACGUCCAGGGCUACACACGUGCUACAAUGGCCGGUACAGAGGGCAGCCACUUGGUGACAAGGAGCAAAUCUCAAAAGCCGGUCUCAGUUCGGAUCGGAGUCUGCAACUCGACUCCGUGAAGUUGGAUUCGCUAGUAAUCGUAGAUCAGCAAUGCUACGGUGAAUACGUUCCCGGGCCUU